UGGGGAAUAUUGCACAAUGGGGGAAACCCUGAUGCAGCGACGCCGCGUGAGCGAAGAAGGCCUUCGGGUCGUAAAGCUCUUUUAUGAGGGAAGAUAAUGACGGUACCUCAAGAAAAAGCCCCGGCUAACUACGUGCCAGCAGCCGCGGUAAUACGUAGGGGGCUAGCGUUGUCCGGAAUCACUGGGCGUAAAGGGUUCGCAGGCGGAAUAACAAGUCAGGUGUGAAAGGCAUGGGCUCAACCCAUGUAAGCAUUUGAAACUGUAAUUCUUGAGAAGUGGAGAGGUAAGUGGAAUUCCUAGUGUAGCGGUGAAAUGCGUAGAUAUUAGGAGGAAUACCUGUGGCGAAGGCGACUUACUGGACACAAAUCUGACGCUGAGGAACGAAAGCGUGGGUAGCAAACAGG
rnacentral:rRNA from 1 species